GACGAACGCUGGCGGCGUGCUUAACACAUGCAAGUCGAACGGAAAGGCCCUGCUUUUGUGGGGUGCUCGAGUGGCGAACGGGUGAGUAACACGUGAGUAACCUGCCCUUGACUUUGGGAUAACUUCAGGAAACUGGGGCUAAUACCGGAUAGGAGCUCCUGCUGCAUGGUGGGGGUUGGAAAGUUUCGGCGGUUGGGGAUGGACUCGCGGCUUAUCAGCUUGUUGGUGGGGUAGUGGCUUACCAAGGCUUUGACGGGUAGCCGGCCUGAGAGGGUGACCGGCCACAUUGGGACUGCGAUACGGACCAGACGCCUACGGGAGGCAGCAGUGGGGAAUAUUGCACAAUGGGCGGAAGCCUGAUGCAGCAACGCCGCGUGCGGGAUGACGGCCUUCGGGGUGUAAACCGCUUUCGCCUGUGACGAAGCGUGAGUGACGGUAAUGGGUAAAGAAGCACCGGCUAACUACGUG
rnacentral:rRNA from 1 species